rnacentral:snRNA from 1 species
GUGCUCAUUUCGGCAGCACAUACACUAAAGUUGGAACCAUACAGAGAAGAUUAACAUAGCCCCUGAGCAAGGAUAACAUGCUAAUUCACCAAGCAUUCCGUAUUUUU